rnacentral:misc_RNA from 1 species
AACGCACAUUGCGCCCUUUGGUAUUCCUUAGGGCAUGCCUGUUCGAGCGUCAUUAUAAAACCUCAAGCCUUGCUUGGUGAUGGGUGACUGUCUGCACGUUGUUGUGGACUCGCCUCAAAAUCAGUUGGCAGCUUCAUCCUUAGCUCUAAACGCAGCAGAAUCGUGCUUUAUGGGCGUGUGGACAGAGCUUUCCAGAAAAGUAAAUCUUUCUCAGUUUGACCUCGGAUCAGGUAGGGAUACCCGCUGAACUUAA